rnacentral:ncRNA from 2 species
AUGAAGAUAAUCAGAGAGACUGUUUGUAACAGCGCCGACGGGGAAAGCACGAUAGUGUGAAACUCUCAGGCAAAAGGAUGAUUAUUGGACG